GAAUUCGCCCUUGGGGAAUUUUCCGCAAUGGGCGAAAGCCUGACGGAGCAACGCCGCGUGAGGGAGGAAGGUCUUUGGAUUGUAAACCUCUUUUCUCAAGGAAGAAGUUCUGACGGUACUUGAGGAAUCAGCCUCGGCUAACUCCGUGCCAGCAGCCUCGGUAAUACGGGGGAGGCAGGCGUUAUCCGGAAUUAUUGGGCGUAAAGCGUCCGCAGGUGGUCAGCCAAGUCUGCCGUCAAAUCAGGUUGCUUAACGACCUAAAGGCGGUGGAAACUGGCAGACUAGAGAGCAGUAGGGGUAGCAGGAAUUCCCAGUGUAGCGGUGAAAUGCGUAGAGAUUGGGAAGAACAUCGGUGGCGAAAGCGUGCUACUGGGCUGUAUCUGACACUCAGGGACGAAAGCUAGGGGAGCGAAAGGGAUUAGAUACCCCUGUAGUCCUAGCCGUAAACGAUGGAUACUGGGCGUGGCUUGUAUCGACCCGAGCCGUGCCGAAGCUAACGCGUUAAGUAUCCCGCCUGGGGAGUACGCACGCAAGUGUGAAACUCAAAGGAAUUGACGGGGGCCCGCACAAGCGGUGGAGUAUGUGGUUUAAUUCGAUGCAACGCGAAGAACCUUACCAAGACUUGACAUGUCGCGAAGCCUGGUGAAAGCUGGGGGUGCCUUCGGGAGCGCGAA
rnacentral:rRNA from 1 species